UCCCAGUUCGGAUUGCAGCCUGCAACUCGGCUGCAUGAAGCUGGAAUCGCUAGUAAUCGCGGAUCAGAAUGCCGCGGUGAAUACGUUCCCGGGUCUUGUACACACCGCCCGUCACACCAUGGGAGUAGGUAAUGCCCGAAGUCGGUGACCUAACCGGAAGGAAGGAGCCGCCGAAGGCAGGACUUAUAACUGGGGUGAAGUCGUAACAAGGUAAC
rnacentral:rRNA from 1 species